GAAGUGCGAUAAGCAAUGCGAAUUGCAGAAUUCCGCGAGUCAUCAGAUCUUUGAACGCAAAUGGCGCCGGAGGGAUAUCCUUCUGGCAUGUCUGUUUCAGUGUCUGAGAGGUUUCACCAACAACUUAAUGUGAUUGACCCGGGAGGGUGCGGCAUGCCGCACUGUCCAGGGUCUCUCAUGAAAGAUGCGCGAGUGGAUCUUUCGGUCCAAUGAAGUGGUCACAUCACUCGUAUGUGAUUUCAUUGGGAGCACCGAAUUAUCCGCCAUGCUCGCGGUUGCAUUAUAUUGAAACACCAGAAAGAGUGAUCUAUUUAUAUAUUUCACUCUUUCUAUGUUUCGAUUUUUCUCUCUCUACACCCUGCAUCUGAGACAGGCAAGAUCACCCGCUGAACUUAA
rnacentral:misc_RNA from 1 species